UACAGGGGGUGCAAACGUUGCUCGGAAUUAUUGGGCGUAAAGCGCGCGUAGGCGGCUACUUAAGUCGGAUGUGAAAGCCCUUGGCUCAACUGAGGAAGUGCACCCGAAACUGAGUGGCUUGAGUACUAAAGAGGGUCGCGGAAUUCCCGGUGUAGAGGUGAAAUUCGUAGAUAUCGGGAGGAACACCGAUGGCGAAGGCAGCCUUCUGGGCCAACACUGACGCUCAUGCACGAAAGCGUGGGGAGCAAACAGG
rnacentral:rRNA from 1 species